CGGACGGGUGAGUAAUGUCUGGGAAACUGCCCGAUGGAGGGGGAUAACUACUGGAAACGGUAGCUAAUACCGCAUAACGUCGCAAGACCAAAGAGGGGACCUUCGGGCCUCUUGCCAUCGGAUGUGCCCAGAUGGGAUUAGCUAGUAGGUGGGGUAAUGGCUCACCUAGGCGACGAUCCCUAGCUGGUCUGAGAGGAUGACCAGCCACACUGGAACUGAGACACGGUCCAG
rnacentral:rRNA from 1 species